UACGUAGGGUCCGAGCGUUGUCCGGAAUUAUUGGGCGUAAAGGGCUCGUAGGCGGUCUGUUGCGUCGGGAGUGAAAACUUACAGCUUAACUGUGAGCGUGCUUCCGAUACGGGCAGACUUGAGGUAUUCAGGGGAGAACGGAAUUCCUGGUGUAGCGGUGAAAUGACGCAGAUAUCAGGAGGAACACCGGUGGCGAAGGCGGUUCUCUGGGCAACAACUGACGCUGAGGAGCGAAAGCGUGGGGAGCGAACAGG
rnacentral:rRNA from 1 species